UACGUAGGGGGCAAGCGUUGUCCGGAUUUAUUGGGCGUAAAGAGCGUGUAGGCGGCUUUACAGGUCCGUUGUGAAAACUCGAGGCUCAACCUCGAGACGCCGGUGGAAACCGUAAAGCUAGAGUCCGGAAGAGGAGAGUGGAAUUCCUGGUGUAGCGGUGAAAUGCGCAGAUAUCGGGAGGAACACCCGUGGCGAAAGCGGCUCUCUGGGACGGUACUGACGCUGAGACGCGAAAGCGUGGGGAGCAAACAGG
rnacentral:rRNA from 1 species